rnacentral:rRNA from 1 species
AGCGAACGUUUGCGGCGGGCCUAACACAUGCAAGUCGAACGCACUAGCAAUAGUGAGUGGCGCACGGGUGCGUAACACGUGGGUAAUCAACCCUUCAGCCUGGGAUAACGACUCGAAAGGGUCGCUAAUACCGGAUACGGCGCGAGAGGCUUCGGCUUCUCACGAGAAAGCCACGCAAGGGGCACUGAAGGACGAGCCUGCGGCCCAUCAGCUAGUUGGUGAGGUAAGAGCUCACCAAGGCUAAGACGGGUAGCUGGUCUGAGAGGAUGAUCAGCCACACUGGAACUGAGACACGGUCCAGACUCCUACGGGAGGCAGCAGUGGGGAAUAUUGCGCAAUGGGCGAAAGCCUGACGCAGCCACGCCGCGUGAGCGAUGAAGGCCUUCGGUCGUAAGACUCUGUGGGAGGAGACGAAGAAAGACCUGUGAAGAGCAGGCCGUUGACGGUAGUCUCCUUAGCAAGCACCGGCGUAACUCCGU